rnacentral:rRNA from 1 species
UGGUGGGUUGCCUUGUCAGGUUGAUUCCGGUAACGAACGAGACCUCAGCCUGCUAAAUAGUCAGCAUCGCAUCUGCGGUGCGCAGACUUCUUAGAGGGACUAUUGGCGUUCAGCCAAUGGAAGUAUGAGGCGAUAACA